GCCUACGGGCGGCAGCAGUGGGGAAUCUUGCGCAAUGGGCGAAAGCCUGACGCAGCAACGCCGCGUGCGGGAUGAAGGCCUUCGGGUUGUAAACCGCUUUCAGUAGGGACGAAAUUGACGGUACCUACAGAAGAAGCCCCGGCCAACUACGUGCCAGCAGCCGCGGUAACACGUAGGGGGCGAGCGUUGUCCGGAUUUAUUGGGCGUAAAGAGCUCGUAGGCGGCUCGGUAAGUCGGGUGUGAAAACUCUGGGCUCAACCCAGAGACGCCACCCGAUACUGCUGUGGCUUGAGUCCGGUAGGGGAGCGUGGAAUUCCUGGUGUAGCGGUGAAAUGCGCAGAUAUCAGGAGGAACACCAGCGGCGAAGGCGGCGCUCUGGGCCGGAACUGACGCUGAGGAGCGAAAGCGUGGGUAGCAAACAGGAUUAGAUACCCGAGUAGUC
rnacentral:rRNA from 1 species